rnacentral:lncRNA from 1 species
GUGAAGUGUUCCCUCAGUUCACAUAGACCAGGCUUCCUCUUUAGAGGCAUAAGCUGUAAAACAGGAGAGUCUGUUUUAAGAGGAUCUGUUUGAAGUUUAAUGUAACUGAAGUCCAUGCACCUGAAGCCAUUAAUUGAUAUAAGUGAAGUAAGUCUUUGGGUUUCCGGUAGCUCUGACUCAGAUUCUGCUUGCCUCUUCUCCAUGAGAUUACCAAGGCAUCAGGGCAGAGACUCCCUGAGGAAAUUCUCUACAAUCUCUUCCCACAAGACUGGAGGAAACCAGGAUGUCAUUACCGUAGGCACAUGGCUGAGAUUCCCAAGAAGG